CACUGCACAGACAGCAGAGAACACACAGCACAGACAGCAGAGAACACACUGCACAGACUGCAGAGAACACACUGCACAGCACAGACUGCAGAGAACACACUGCACAGACAGCAGAGAACACAGAAAGCAGAGAACACACUGCACAGACUGCAGAGAACACACUGCACAGCACAGACAGCAGAGAACACACUGCACAGACAGCAGAGAACACACUGCACAGCACAGACAGCAGAGAACACACUGCACAGACAGCAGAGAACACACUGCACAGACAGCAGAGAACACACUGCAGAGAACACUAUAUUCCUAGGUUAAAAAAAAACCUGUACUAGUGGACUGUAUCACAAUACCUGUACUGGUGGACUGGAGACUGUAUCACAAUACCUGUACUAGUGGACUGUAUCACAAUACCUGUACUAGUGGACUGUAUCACAAUACCUGUACUAGUGGACUGUAUCACAAUACCUGUACUAGUGGACUGUAUCACAAUACCUGUACUAGUGGACUGUAUCACAAUACCUGUACUAGUGGACUGUAUCACAAUACCUGUACUGGUGGACUGUAUCACAAUACCUGUACUAGUGGACUGUAUCACAAUACCUGUACUAGUGGACUGGAGACCGUAUCACAAUACCUGUACUAGUGGACUGGAGACUAUCACAAUACCUGUACUGGUGGACUGUAUCACAAUACCUGUACUGGUGGACUGGAGACUGUAUCAUUAUAGUUAUUGUCAAAAACAGAACCUUCCUGAAGCAUUAUGGGUAAUGAUGGAUGGUAGACCCAUAAAUGCCACCCUAUUCCCUACCUAGUGCACUACAUUUGACCAAAGCCCUAUAGGCCCUGGUUAAAAGUAGUGCACUAUAUAGGGAAUCGAUUUGGUGCCAUUUGGGACAGAGACGAUAUUGUCCAUAGAUGCCUCUCGUGUUGUUCUACCUCAUCUAUCAACUGACCUUUUGACCUUUCAGCUGACAAUGAUUGUUGUGCCUUGAUGAUUUAAAUCUGUCAAUUUAUGUUUUAGGAUCAGUCUUUUUUUUCCCCCUCCACGUCCGUGGUUACAUUGUUCAUGUGUGGGCUAUGUCUUAAGGUGUUGUGUCAGAGUUAACCGAUAUAAUGUAGCGAUUUCAUGUGUUGGCUUGAUAGUCGCUGGACCCGGGAUCGAGUCCCGGGUUACGCCUUCAAUAUCAGUAGCUUAAAUCAUGCCACUACACAUGAACCUUGCUUGAGAGGUGAUGAUGAGGAGUGGAUGGAUGAAGAUUCUGAUAAUAGGUUCUUACCAGCAGGUGGAGUCCUGUCUCCACUAUGCCUAAAGAUCUGCAGGUCAGGGAUAGGUCUACUGUCGUCAGUCGCCUGGGCAACCAGCCAGACCCACACACCACCAUAAAUCCAGAUCUGUCAUUUUUUUUUUUUUUUCAUUUAUUCAGGGGAAAACCAAUGAGACCAGGGUGUCAUCCCCCAGGGUGCCCUGAUUUACAGUACUACAACAAUAAAUAAAAAAACGAUGUGAAACCAAACAGUAAUCAAUACAAUGCCUUAUAAAAUGUUUUUUUUUAAAAGCACAA
ensembl:lncRNA